rnacentral:rRNA from 1 species
GAUGAACGCUAGCUACAGGCUUAACACAUGCAAGUCGUGGGGCAGCGGAUACUUAGCUUGCUAAGUAUGCCGGCGACCGGCGCACGGGUGAGUAACGCGUACCGAACCUGCCCAUCACACAGGGAUAGGCUUGCGAAAGCAAGAUUAAUACCUGAUGGUCUCAAUUUUAUGCAUGUAUGAUUGAGUAAAGCCUUCGGGCGGUGAUGGAUGGCGGUGCGUCCCAUUAGGAAGUUGGCGGGGUAACGGCCCACCAAUCCUUCGAUGGGUAGGGGUUCUGAGAGGAAGGUCCCCCACAUUGGAACUGAGAUACGGUCCAAACUCCUACGGGAGGCAGCAGUGAGGAAUAUUGGUCAAUGGGCGAGAGCCUGAACCAGCCAAGUAGCGUGCGGGAUGAAGGCCCUUGUGGUCGUAAACCGCUUUUAUCAGUGAAUAAAGUGCACCACGUGUGGUGUCAUUGCAGGUAGCUGAAGAAAAAGGACCGGCUAAUUCCGUGCCAGCAGCCGCGGUAAUACGGAAGGUCCGGGCGUUAUCCGGAAUUAUUGGGUUUAAAGGGAGCGCAGGCGGGAGUAUAAGUCAGCUGUUAAAUAUCAGGGCCCAACUCUGUUAUGCAGUUGAAACUAUAUUUCUUGAGUACGCACAGGGAUGGCGGAAUUCAGGGUGUAGCGGUGAAAUGCUUAGAUAUCCUGAAGAACUCCGAUCGCGAAGGCAGCCAUCCCGAGCGUAACUGACGCUGAGGCUCGAAGGUGCGGGUAUCGAACAGG